UAGGGAAUCUUCGGCAAUGGGGGGAACCCUGACCGAGCAACGCCGCGUGAGUGAAGAAGGUUUUCGGAUCGUAAAGCUCUGUUGUUAAGGAAGAACGAGUGUGAGAAUGGAAAGUUCAUACUGUGACGGUACUUAACCAGAAAGGGACGGCUAACUACGUGCCAGCAGCCGCGGUAAUACGUAGGUCCCGAGCGUUGUCCGGAUUUAUUGGGCGUAAAGCGAGCGCAGGCGGUUAGAUAAGUCUGAAGUGAAAGGCAGUGGCUCAACCAUUGUAGGCUUUGGAAACUGUUUAACUUGAGUGCAGAAGGGGAGAGUGGAAUUCCAUGUGUAGCGGUGAAAUGCGUAGAUAUAUGGAGGAACACCGGUGGCGAAAGCGACUCUCUGGUCUGUAACUGACGCUGAGGCUCGAAAGCGUGGGUAGCAAACAGG
rnacentral:rRNA from 1 species